rnacentral:rRNA from 1 species
GCCCUUUACUCGAGGGAUAGCCUUGCGAAAGUAAGAUUAAUACCUGAUAGUGUUGCGAUGAGGCAUCUUGUUGCAACUAAAGAUUUAUUGGUAAAGGAUGGCGAUGCGUCUGAUUAGGUAGUAGGCGGGGUAAUGGCCCACCUAGCCGACGAUCAGUAGGGGUUCUGAGAGGAACGGUCCCCCACAUUGGAACUGAGACACGGUCCAA